AGAGAAACCCAGCCAGGAGCCUGCCAUGAUCACACAGGUGGGCUUCCCAAGGCAGGCUCAUCUGUGGUACUCCUGAGGUGCUGACCCCUGCAGCCUCCGCCAAUGUGGGCAGCUUGACUGCACAAUCUGUGGUAGUGGGGGCUGUGAUGGAGCUCUCCCCUG
rnacentral:snRNA from 1 species